UACGUAGGGUGCAAGCGUUGUCCGGAAUUAUUGGGCGUAAAGGGCUCGUAGGCGGUCCAUCACGUCGGGAGUGAAAAGCUGGGGCUUAACCCCAGUCCUGCUUCCGAUACGGGUGGACUAGAGGUAGGCAGGGGAGAACGGAAUUCCCGGUGUAGCGGUGAAAUGCGCAGAUAUCGGGAGGAACACCAGCGGCGAAGGCGGCACUCUGGGCUGGAACUGACGCUGAGGAGCGAAAGCGUGGGUAGCAAACAGG
rnacentral:rRNA from 1 species